rnacentral:misc_RNA from 1 species
UCGAGUGUUUAGAACUCCCAAACCCACUGCGAACCACAGCGUCGUUGCCUCGGCGGACCGCCCCGGCGCCCUCGGGCCCGGACCAAGGCGCCCGCCGGAGGGACCACAAACUCUUGUAUCUGGAUGCAUUGCUCUGAGUAAACAAGCAAAAUGAAUCA